rnacentral:rRNA from 1 species
GUCUUUUUGAUUAAUAAUUUAAAGUCUAAUCUGCCCACUGAUGAUAUAUUAAAGGGCUGCAGUAUUUUGACUGUACAAAGGUAGCAUAAUCAAUAGUCUCUUAAUUGGUGACUUGUAUGAAAGAUUUAAUGAGAUAUAUACUGUCUCUUUUUAAUUUAUAAAAUUUAAUUUUUUAGUUAAAAAGCUAAAAUAUAUUUAAAAGACGAGAAGACCCUAUAGAGUUUAAUAUUUAAUUAAAUUAAAAUUAUUUAUAAAAUUUAAAAUUUUAAUUUAUAUUAAAUAUUUUGUUGGGGUGAUAAAAAAAUUAAAAGAACUUUUUUUAUAAUUUUACAUUAAUAAGUGAAUAAAUGAUCCGUAAUUUACGAUUAAAAGAAAAAAUUACCUUAGGGAUAACAGCGUAAUUUUUUUUUUUAGUUCAAAUAAGAAAAAAAGUUUGCGACCUCGAUGUUGGAUUAAGAUAAAAUUUAAAUGCAAAAGUUUAAAAUUUUUGAUCUGUUCGAUCAUUAAAAUCUUACA